GUUCUUGCUUUGGAAGUACAUAUACAAAAAUUGGAAUGACACAGAGAAGAUCAGCAUGGCUCCUGCACAAUAAUAACAUGCAAAUUCAUGAAACAUUUCAUAUUUUU